GACCCCAGGUCAGGCGGGACUACCCGCUGAGUUUAAGCAUAUUCAAUAAAA
rnacentral:rRNA from 1 species